rnacentral:lncRNA from 1 species
GGGGGACAGAGCAAGACCCCACCUCUGAAAACAAACAAACAAACCCAACUAGUUUGAAAACUUGCUAGCUUAUAUGAUAUUUAAUUAACCUGUGCCUUCAUAAUAUCAAGAACAGCUGGCAUGAAAAAGGCUCGGGGGCAAACACAAUUGACUUGUGGUAAAUACAAGAUCAGCUGGAGGGUGUUUUGCCAAACGGCUGAAAGCCAGGAGAGCUGAGCACGCCCAGGAUGUCUAGGGGACAUGGACACACCUGUCACCUGCAAUGGCCAGAUGAGAGGCCAUCCAUGGUAAAGGGGAUGAAAACGGUCAUAACAGGGCCAGCUAUGAUUGAACACAGGGUGAGUGCCACGCCCUGUGCUGGGGCGUCUCCUCGUGUCUCAUUAGAUCCUCACUGCAACCCCAGGAGGAGGUUUUAUCUUUAUUCUGGUUCCGCCAUUAUAAAGGUGGGAGAAUUGGGGCUCAGUCCCCUCAGCUAGUAAGGAGAAGAGCUGGUCCUUGAUCUCAGGUCUGCUGGUCCCCAGAGCUCGAGUCCCAGCUUCAGCUUCUCAACUCUGAGUCUCUGAAAAGGGUUUCCAAGGAGGCGGUGGAACCGUGUGGACUCAAUGACUUCAGACAUGGUCUGGGGCUGGGAGGCCAGACCGAGCUGCUGCAGGCCAAGUUCAAGUGCUGCUGCUUCCUCCAUGAUGGCUGCCCGGAUUCCUCCAUCCCUAUCCCCAGAUAUGCAGCAGUGGAGCGAUGUUCCUGAUGCGGAGGCAGUGGAUGUCUGGAGAGAGAACCGAACUGGGGGGCCAGAGAAAGAGCUGGACGAUCUUAAGCAAGCAAUUUAACCUCUCUGAGCCUCAGUUUCCCCAGCCUCUGAACGGGGUGAGAAUACGGAGGAUUUCAAGGGGCCCUUAUAGAUCUGCCUCUUUAUUGCCUUUUGAAAACUCGCCACUUUCCCCAAGCUGAUUGAAUUCCUGAGGCGUUUUGCAGAGGAGCUGCGGGAAGGGUGUGGAAGGGGGCGGGUCCGGGAGUGGCAGCCCCGUCCCCACGCCCCUGGGGUUCUGCGGACCAGCUCACUGGAGACCAGGAGGCGCUAAAAGGCAGCCCUGCGCUGCCCCCUGGUGGCCGAUGUGGACACUGCAGCCAGGAAGCCUUUCCCUCCCGGCCUUCCGGAGACAGGCUGCCGGCUGGACACUCCCCUGGCUUCGCGGCUCACCUCUCACCUGGCUAGGGAACUCCUGACACCAAGGGGGACCCCGGGAUGAGGGCGUUGGAGGGUGAAAGACUGGGUCUCAGCUCAGCCAAUCAAGAGCGUAGUUCUGAAGAAGCCCAGUUGCGGGAAAGGAGUGAAUGUGGCGGCCCCCAGAGGUGCGCCCAGCUGCUCCUCCGUCUGUGGGCUUUUCCCACGGCCUUCUCAGGAGCGCCGCCCAGCAGCUCCGCUGGAAGUGGCGUCAGGAAGACAGAAGAAGCUGGACAGAAAGAGAUCAAGAUUUAACUGGUUAUGCUGUAGACCAUGGCAGAUCGUAACAGAAGACAAAGCCCUUAAAAGAAAUGAAACUAUCCUCAUUAAAGGCCUGAUGGCUCACACCAUCCAGGAGAUCUCCUCUGCUACCAACUCCCAGCAGCUGAUUCAGCGGUCCUUCAUGAACAAUAGGCAACUGAACAAGAAAAUGAGUUUAUAUUGUUCAAAAGAAAGAAGAAUGCCUCUUUUUUCCCUUGAACAAGGGAGGUGGAGACUAACAAAAGAUUCUUUGCUUGACCAAACUUUAGUCAGGCUUCUAAAUCUUCCCCUCGGCCCGUCUGUGCACUUCCUUGUGAAAUCCAGUUUUAGCAAAGAACAUUUGUAAGUCAGUUUAGCAAGAACCCACCUCCCCACCCCCAUCCUCAAUAUCUGAUCAGGUUGCUCAGUUGCCAUCAUCCCCCAGGUGAUGUCUGAUUACCCUAGCCUGUCUUCAGCAAGAAUUCUGUUAGGUCAGUUCAGCCAGAAUCUCCCUUAACUCUUAUGUUUCCUCUCAGUAAUUUUUUUAUUUUUAUUUUAUUAUUAUUUUUUUGAGACAGAGCCUCCCUCUGUCACCCAGGCUGGAGUGCAGUGGCACGAUCUUGGCUCACUGCAACUUCUGCCUCCUGAGUUCAAGUGAUUCUUGUGCCUCAGCCUCCUAAGUGGCUGGGACCAUAGGUGUGUGUUGCCAUACCCAGCUAAUUUUUUUUUUCCUCAAGACGGAGUCUUGCUCUGUCGCCAAGGCUGGAGUGCAAUGGCGCAAUCUCAGCUCACUGCAACUUCUGCCUCUUGGGUUCAAGCAAUUCUCCUGCCUCAGCCUGCCGAGUAGCUGGGAUUACAGGUGCUCGCCACCACGCCCAUCUAAUUUUUUGUAUUUUUAGUAGAGACUAAAAAUAGUCUCUAGACCAUGUUGGCCAGGCUGGUCUUGAACUCCUGACUUUGUGAUCUGCCCACCUCGGCCUCCCAAAGUGCUAGGAUUACAGGCAUGAGCCACUGUGCCCACCCGGUGCCCAGCUGAUUUUUUAUAUUUUUAGUAGAGACUGGGUUUUGCCAUGUUGCCCAGGCUGGUCUUGAACUCCUGAGCUCAGGGCAAUCUGCCUGCCUCGGCCUCUCAGAGUGCUAGGAUUACAGGUAUGAGCCACCGUGCCCGGCCUUCUUCUUAGUAAUUUUCUAUCCACUGACCCCCACACUCUUCAUGGCUAUAAAUUCCUAUAUAAUUGCAUAAAUUCUACGCAAUCUCUCUCCCCAACUCUGAGACCCCAUUGCAGUGGUACCCUAUAACUAUGUCAAUGGCCCUGAAUAAAGUCUUCCUUACCAUGCUUUAACAAGUAUUAUUGAACACAUUUUCUUUAACAACAGCAAGAAAAAAGCAAAGCAGGAAAGGGAUGUAAGAAAGAGUGAGAUGAAUAACACACUUCCAAGAGGGAGGGCUCAAAGAAGGAAAAGGAAAGAUCAAAUGAGUUCCUUAUAUCCCAAAAGAAACUGCAGACGCAACGGACCAACAAACUGAGCUCAACUGAACUCUGUAAGUUUCAAGCAGAGAUUCUGUGACAACAGAGAGAUGAAAGGCAAGUUGAGGAAACAAAUGGAAGAAAAAGAUAAAACAUUACAGUGACGGGAACCACGUUCAAAGCCACACAACCCUGAAAGCACAAGUUUGACAAAAUUGUGCAAAACAAACUGGCACAAAAAACAUGCAAGAUUGAUCGUAAAGAAGAUGUAAAUGGCAGGCAAAGGGCAACUGGUUUUUCCAAGAAGAGAACAGAAUGGAUGAAACUGAAAAGGCAUUCAAGGAACCAUGGGAAGCUGACUUUUCAGAAGGAGGACAUGGACUUCCAAUUCAACUGAGCACGUUGUAUCCCAGAAAGAGAAACAUAGACAGAGUGACCCAUGCUGAAGCAUAACUAUGGUUAGCUUCUGAACACAGUGACAAAGGCAGAAUCCUAUCAACCAAAAAGCCAAAGGAAACCAAAGCACAAAUUCCCCCACAGCAUUCAGCACCCGAGGAUGGUGGCCACAAUCUACAGUUUGGGGGAAAGGAAAUGUGGAUCAGCAGACCCUGGCACGUAUAAAGACCACACACAGAUGGCUUUACACGUGUGGGCACUCAGGGCGGACAGUUCCUAAAAGCCGUUUUUGACAGAACACUGAGGAAUCAAACUGUAGAUCUUAGGAACAAGGAACUGUGCUGAAAACGAAUGACAGUGAACACAGAAUCCAUUCUAUUUUGGAAUUAAGACCCCAGUAACUAGUGAAAUUGUGUUAUAAAACAGAGAGUAACUCUUAUAAACAUGGCCGGUGUAAAUCAUGAUGUCAUCACCAAAUCGGAAAAGGAGGUGAGGGAACGCUGGCACUUCCCUCAUCUUUCAGAGCAGGAAGUAAAACUUGAAACAUGCAGUCAUAUCAAAAUCCAAUAACCUUGAAUAAUCACUCUUUGUCUACCCUUUUCUCCCCUUGACUUUGAAGGGAUCAUUUGGUCCUUUUUAUAUUGCUUGAAUUUGUUUUUUUCAUUGAUGCAUAAUAUUCAUACAUAUUUGUGAGGUACAUAUAAUGAUAUGGUUUGGAUCUGUGUCCUCGCCCAAAUCUAUUGUAAUCCCCGGUGUUGGAGGUGGGUCUUGGUGGAAGUGAUUUGAUUAUUGGGGUGGAUUUCCCCCGUGUACUGCCCUCAUUAUAGUGAGUGAGUUCUCAUGAGAGCUGGUUGUUCAAAAGUAUGUGGCACUUCCCCCUUGCUCUUGGUCCUGCUCCUGUCACAUAAGACGCCGGCUCUCAUUCACCUUCUGCCAUGACUAGAAGCUCCCUGAGGCCUCCCCAGAAGCAGAUGCUGCCAUGCUUCCUGUACAGCCUGCAGAACUGUGAGCCAAUUAAAGCUCUUUUCCUUAAAAAUUACCCCAUCUCAGGUAUUUCCUUAUAGCAAUGUGAGAACGGCUUAAUACAUGUAAUAUUUUGUUAGGUGCAUGGAAUGUGGAGUGACCAAGUCAGGGUAUUUGGGGUAUCCAUCACCUCAAGUAUUUAUUUCUGUAUUCUGGGGAUAUUUCAAGACCUUUCUUGUAGCUAUUUUGAAAUACACCCUACAUUGUUGCUAACUAGUCACCCUCCUCUGCUAUUGAACCUUAUUCUUUCUGUCUUACUGUGUGUUUGUAUCCAUUAACCAACCUCUCUGUCCUUCUCCCCACUGACACACCCUUCCUAGUCUCUGGUAUUUAUCAUUGAAUUUGUUUCUAAUGAGCAUGAUUUUUUUUAAACAAUAACAAGAAAAGGUCAUUAUUCUUAAAACAUUUCUUUUUGAGUUUUCUCCUGUCUAUCUGGUUUGCUUCAUUAAAAAGAGAGAGAGAAGAAA